rnacentral:rRNA from 1 species
CCUACGGGAGGCAGCAGUGAGGAAUAUUGGUCAAUGGACGGAAGUCUGAACCAGCCAUGCCGCGUGCAGGAAGAAGGCUCUAUGAGUUGUAAACUGCUUUUGUACAAGGGUAAAACUGAAUACGUGUAUUCAGCUGAACGUACUGUACGAAUAAGGAUCGGCUAACUCCGUGCCAGCAGCCGCGGUCAUACGGAGGAUCCAAGCGUUAUCCGGAUUUAUUGGGUUUAAAGGGUGCGUAGGCGGAUUGAUAAGUUAGAGGUGAAAUGUCCGAGCUUAACUCGGGAACUGCCUCUAAUACUGUUGAUCUUGAGAGUAGGUGCGGUAGGCGGAAUGUAUGGUGUAGCGGUGAAAUGCUUAGAGAU